rnacentral:rRNA from 1 species
GUGGAUGAUGUGGUUUAAUUCGAUGCAACGCGAAAAACCUUACCCACCUUUGACAUGUACGGAAUUCGCCAGAGAUGGCUUAGUGCUCGAAAGAGAACCGUAACACAGGUGCUGCAUGGCUGUCGUCAGCUCGUGUCGUGAGAUGUUGGGUUAAGUCCCGCAACGAGCGCAACCCUUGUCAUUAGUUGCUACAUUUAGUUGGGCACUCUAAUGAGACUGCCGGUGACAAACCGGAGGAAGGUGGGGAUGACGUCAAGUCCUCAUGGCCCUUAUAGGUGGGGCUACACACGUCAUACAAUGGCUGGUACAAAGGGUUGCCAACCCGCGAGGGGGAGCUAAUCCCAUAAAACCAGUCGUAGUCCGGAUCGCAGUCUGCAACUCGACUGCGUGAAGUCGGAAUCGCUAGUAAUCGUGGAUCAGAAUGUCACGGUGAAUACGUUCCCGGGUCUUGUACACACCGCCCGUCACACCAUGGGAGCGGGUUCUGCCAGAAGUAGUUAGCUUAACCGCAAGGAGGGCGAUUACCACGGCAGGGUUCGUGACUGGGGUGAAGUCGUAACAAGGUAGCCGUAUCGGAAGGUGCGGCUG